AAUAAGCUUGGCUCUGACUUAUAAAUACAGUAAAAACAAUAGAAUACACAUGGUUUCUUUGAAAGAGGUGAGGCUGGGAAAAUAAGAAAUAAAAUAAAAAAUUUUACCUCUAUUAUUCUUGGUGGUAUUAUCUGAACACAUAAUGCCUUGAUAUGUCCCACUAACACCAGUGUUUGAUAUUAAAAAAAGGUGAAAGCCUGUUUUAGUUUAGUUUAUUAGAUCUGGUCAAUUUGGUGCCAGCAUCCGCGGUUAAACCAAUAUGAUCAAAUUGUAUAAUAUUAGGUAAAAAGACAGUUAGGUAAUAAAUCUAGCUACUUAAAUUUUUAAUAUAAAAGUGUAAUUUGCAUAUUAGAAACAAAACUAAUAGUAACUAAAAAACUGAAUCUGUGAAUAUCUUGACGGAAACUAGGAUUGGAUACCCUAUUAUUCUUGAAGGUAAAUAGAAUUAAUCUACCAGAGUACUACGAACAAAUACUACUAUCAGUUUAAAACUCAAAGAGCUUGGCGGUGCUUUAGACCACUCAGGGGAAUUUGUCUCAUAAUCGAUAACCCACGUUAAUCCUUACCUUAAUUUGCUCUCAGCAUGUAUACCGUCGUCAGCAGGUAACUUUUAAGAAAUAAAUAGUUAGCAAAACAGACUUUCAAAAUUUCUAACCUAUAAUGUCAGAUCAAGGUGCAGCCAAUAUUAAGGAGAAGAUGAGUUACAAUUAAGAAUCAUAACCACGGAUACAAGAACUAAAAUCACUUAUUGAAGGAGGACUUGAAAGUAAAUUAACUUUAUAUAAAAUAAUUGAACAAGGCUCUGAAGCGUGCACAAAUCGCCCGUCGCUCUCGUUGGAAAAUGAGAUAAGUCGUAACACAGUAGAGGUAAUGGAAAUUGUUUCUGGCUGAAG
rnacentral:ncRNA from 1 species